AGUGAACGCUGGCGGCGUGCCUAAUACAUGCAAGUCGAACGGAGAUUAAGUAGCUUGCUAUUUAAUCUUAGUGGCGCACGGGUGAGUAAUAUAUAGCUAAUCUGCCCUACACUAGAGGACAACAGUUGGAAACGACUGCUAAUACUCUAUACUCCUCCUUUACAUAAGUUAAGUCGGGAAAGUUUUUCGGUGCAGGAUGAGGCUAUAUCGUAUCAGCUAGUUGGUGAGGUAAUGGCUCACCAAGGCUAUGACGCGUAACUGGUCUGAGAGGAUGAUCAGUCACAUUGGAACUGAGACACGGUCCAAACUCCUACGGGAGGCAGCAGUAGGGAAUAUUGCUCAAUGGGGAAACCCUGAAGCAGCAACGCCGCGUGGAGGAUGACACUUUUCGGAGCGUAAACUCCUUUUCUUGGGAAAGAAUUAUGACGGUACCCAAGGAAUAAGCACCGGCUAACUCCGUGCCAGCAGCCGCGGUAAUACGGAGGGUGCAAGCGUUACUYGGAGUCACUGGGCGUAAAGGACGCGUAGGCGGAUUAUCAAGUCUCUUGUGAAAUCUAACGGCUUAACCGUUAAACUGCUUGGGAAACUGAUAAUCUAGAGUAAGGGAGAGGCAGAUGGAAUUCUUGGUGUAGGGGUAAAAUCCGUAGAGAUCAAGAAGAAUACCCAUUGCGAAAGCGAUCUGCUGGAACUUAACUGACGCUAAUGCGUGAAAGCGUGGGGAGCAAACAGGAUUAGAUACCCUGGUAGUCCACGCCCUAAACGAUGUAUACUAGUUGUUGCUUCGCUAGUCGAGGCAGUAAUGCACCUAACGGAUUAAGUAUACCGCCUGGGGGAGUACGGUCGCAAGAUUAAAACUCAAAGGAAUAGACGGGGACCCGCACAAGCGGUGGAGCAUGUGGUUUAAUUCGAAGAUACGCGAAGAACCUUACCCGGACUUGAUAUCUAACAAAUCAUCCAGARAUGGAAGAGUGUCUGCUUGCAGAAAUGUUAAGACAGGUGCUGCACGGCUGUCGUCAGCUCGUGUCGUGAGAUGUUGGGUUAAGUCCCGCAACGAGCGCAACCCACGUAUUUAGUUGCUAACGGUUAGGCCGAGCACUCUAAAUAGACUGCCUUCGUAAGGAGGAGGAAGGUGUGGACGACGUCAAGUCAUCAUGGCCCUUAUGUCCGGGGCGACACACGUGCUACAAUGGCGUAUACAAUAAGACGCAAUAUCGCGAGAUGGAGCAAAUCUAUAAAAUACGUCCCAGUUCGGAUUGGAGUCUGCAACUCGACUCCAUGAAGCCGGAAUCGCUAGUAAUCGUAGAUCAGCCAUGCUACGGUGAAUACGUUCCCGGGUCUUGUACUCACCGCCCGUCACACCAUGGGAGUUGAUUUCACUCGAAGCCCAAAUACCAAACCGGUUAUGGUCCACAGUGGAAUCAGCGACUGGGGUG
rnacentral:rRNA from 1 species